rnacentral:misc_RNA from 1 species
AAGUCGUAACAAGGUUUCCGUAGGUGAACCUGCGGAAGGAUCAUUAACACGGUAACGCGAAACAAUAUCCCUGAAAUCAUCGCCGAACAGUUUUGAUUCAGGGACUUCAAGCACGUUACUGUCCUGAUAAAAGAUCGAUGUUGCAAAAAUAAACAUAAUCAGGGGGUGAUAUCUUGGUUCUC